rnacentral:rRNA from 1 species
UGUGUGAAAACGCUUUUGGAGGAGGCCUAUCUCGGUAUACAGGGCAGGAGGUUGGGAUCCUAGUCCUCUAAGAGAGGGGCGGCGGCGGCUACCGGUCCUCCUACGCCGCUGCGUGACGACGGGUGGACAAGGAACUUCCUAGUGGCCGCAGCGCGAGGAGUUUCGUUGACGUUACCUGCUGCUUUUAGUUACCGGUGAGGUCGAGGGUACACAGUUAGUGGCCGGCAACGACGAAGGAGGAUCAAGUAGUCUUCCUGGUGUAGCGGCUGUCAGGGUACGCCGUUCUAGGAGGUCGUUGCGAACAGAAGCACGUGUCCGCGCACCAGCGCGUUGUCCAAGACAUCAACCGCCGGAACUGACAUGGUCGUCCUUGCUUUAUAUUACGGAAGAUAAAGAGAUUGGGUCACCGUCUCACCGUCACAUCGAACUAUCGAAGACCUCAUACGGACCUCGAUAUACCUAUAUAUGACGUGAACAACAACAAGUAGUCUCAAUCAGACUGGACGACUUGGCUACACUAAUUUUUCGUCGGAUUACUCUUCUCGGAAACAAGUCGACUGCCGUGUUGUUAGAGGCCGCGACGCCAACGUAGGUGUCCAACGACAAGAUACUAUAAAACGACUUAUUAAACAGGUUAACAUACCAAUACCGACAUGGAUAAAAAGCGUUCGACAACAUACCUACAUGAAACCAAUCUUACCUUGCUUGUCUGGAAAUUAGUACAGUCAACUUCUCCCCACGGACACCUGAGUAGGUUCCGACGUAGUUAACAACUAAGUACCUCGACUCGUCCUGCUACAAUGGUGACUUCGAAGUCCGCUGACAACCGGAGAAGGAACGACAAUUAAUCAAAAGAUCAUUAAACAACAACUAGCGAACUAGCAAAGAGAGAGGGACUUAAAUACAACAUGGAUAUGUGAUAACAAGAGGUCGUUACUUUUACGCCG